rfam:Myotis lucifugus cont2.52626, whole genome shotgun sequence.
CUACUUACCUGGCAGGGGAGAUACCGUGGUCACGAGGGCGGUUUUCCCAGAGCGAGGCUUGUCCGUUGCCCUGUGGAUGUGCUGACCCCUGCGAUUUCCCCACAUGUGGGAAACGGGUCUGCAUAAUUUGCAGUAGGGAGGACUGCAUUCGCGCUCUCCCCUG